AUGCCGGUAUCUAGUGUUUCCCUCUCACUCAGCAGUCGGUUACGUGGAGUUUUUUUUCUGCCUGAAAGACCCAGAAAAGCAGAAAAAAGCGAAAAUAUGGCAAUUAAAUAUUCUCGGAGGGGUGUUGUGACCUCUCUGCUUUGCUCUUCCUGCAGCGUUUCUUCACUUCGGCGGCUCUCGGACUUUCAAACUGUUUUUAAUAAGACAACCACUUCCCCCUUAUCCCAGAUAAAGCCCCUCAGUCUGGAGCCCCCGGAUCUGAAAAGAGCCUCCCACUUAAAUCUGCAGAUCAACUCAAACAGCGACAUGAGAACGUUUGAUCACAUCUGGUGCAACACUGUUCACAGAGCACAGUCCCAUCAAAAGAACUUAAAAAGACUGAAGAGGAUUCACCGCGGUCUGAAUACGGACCCAAGAAGCUACUUCUGUCAAACCAAUGCACCACAUUCUAAACUAAGUUCCUCUACAGGAGGCCGCCUGAUGCUGCAUGAAGCAGAGAGGCGUACGACGCUGCAUCCGUCUCCCCUUGAUGCUGCGCUGCAGAUCUUUACAGGUGUGCGGUGCUGGGUGGCUGUUGGCGAGGAGGCGUGGCCGGUGAAGACCUGGGGAGUAAUCGGCUAACGAGCUGAUUGCCUGUAGAAACCAGCCUGGUUGCUGCAGAGGAAAAAGAGAAAGGAGGGAGAGGCCUUGUGUUUUGUAUGGCCUGUCAAAGACGUUUUGUGUUGAAUCCUGCCGGGUGAGAUCCCGUUGUGCUCUACCGGAGUUCUGGAGAAGGUGCAGGUAGUUCUGCCCAUGUGUGUACAUUUGCAUCACGUAGGUAAAUCUUUGUUACACACACUGUGUUAGCUGGGCGGGGGUCACCCCUGUAGUUUUGGCCAUAGAGAGGUAAGCUGGUUAGGGAUAGACUGUGUUAGGCAGACUGUGUAGAAGAAAAGGGACCUUUUGUUUAUUUCAUUACUUCUCCCCCCUUCCUUGGUUGUGUGUGUACGUCGGCUGCUGGUUACACUGGGUGCGCAAGCACAGGCGUUUAAUUUCCCACCUCCAACGAACGUAACAAUCCUCCACUCGAGAAAUUCGUGUGAGGCCUUAAAGCUUUGUCACUUUUAGUGAUGGACGUUCGGAUCAUUUUACUGACUCUGUUCUUUCAAUCUCUAUCAGUAAAAUUGUUGCGUCCCCCACCUCCGGUGUUUGUUGCUACACGUGUUUGGGUGCAGGCUGUGUCCUGAUUACAGAUGAGCCGCACCUGAGCAGAACCUGUGUUGGCGCUACAAAGGCUUCCUGGACCGUUCUCGGGGGGGGGGGGGGGGGCACACAGAUCCCUCAGAGUGCACAACGGUGCUGCUGCUGCCAAGAUCGCCGUCCACCCGGCAGUGAAAAUGUUCCGCAUUUGUAUUUAGUUUGUUAAGAUACCUUUUAAUAUCCAUUUUUUAAAAUAAAAUACCCCUAGAUUAUUUUGAUACACGUAACAAAACAGAACAUCUUUUUUCCAUUCAUUCAUUUCAACGGGGGGGGGGCUAAAUGCGUCCACUGCCAACACGUAGCAUAUUCUCAUGUAGGUUAGUGCAUGUAAACCAGCAGAUACUAAUUCAUAAGGAAAUUCUUGCAUUAAAAUAAUGUAUCAUGACAGUUUGGAUGAUUUGAACCGCUCAUUUAUUAUCACACUUUCUUCUGACUAUCAGUCUAUAACCAUCCCGAUGCGCCGCCACGAGAAAAUGAACAAAUUUUGUUCUGAAAGACUCGUUACUCCGAGUCCUUCAGAACGGACGAUGUCACUUUAUCUGAUGUCUUAUUGAAGAAAAGAACCAGUCACAUGUCUUCACCACACUUUCCACCUUCAUCCUUGCGCAACGUUCAGGUGGCGUGUGUGUGUGUGUGUGUGUCCUGGUUUUCUCUCAGCGGCGUCAAGCUCUCUGUUGCACUCCGACCCCUAAAGGACCCUACCAACCCCCCGGUGACCUCUGACCAUGUUGGGUUUCCUGUUCUACAUUGAACAGUCCCGCCGCUCUUUUCCCUCUUCCAGCGGCGAGCUGGCGGGCAGCAGACGCUCUUGCUGGGCUGCCAAACGUGUUGCAGAAAAAUGUGUUUGUGAAACGCUUUCCAGGAAGAGUUGAUCAGUUUAACCUCCAUCGUCCCUGCUGAGUCCUGAGGCUCCAUCACAACAAUCUUCUGUUUUAUUUAAAGAACCUCCAGGAAAACCAACAGAUUGUGUACUGAAUGAUUGCUGAAAUGUUUGUUUGUGAAUGAACAUAAACUUGAGUUAUUUCAAUGGUAAUUAUUGGAAUAUAUUUAUAGGAAACACGUAUUUCUCUACAUUUAGCUCAUUUGACUUCUCUGAUUAAUCUGAAAUCUGAGGGAUCUCUGGUCACCUUCCUCUACAUCUACAUCUUCACCAGGAGGAAACUGUCUGCUUUUGUUCCUUUGAUGCUCACAUGUUCAUGUGUGUCAGAUGCUUGACGAUGGGAGAGAUUUUACACUUUAUUGCAAAAUGCAUGACAAUCGAUAAGUAACCACAGCACUUGAUGAAAAACUCCACCCUUUAAUGCUGAAGGUGAAGUUAAACCUUCUCUGUGGACACACAAACUCUCCUCCAAACUAUCAGGAGACAUCUGACGGUGUCUCCGAGGACGUCUCCGGAUGCCUUCGGAGACGUCCGGUGACAGUUUGCUGCCAGCCUGACGAUAAAGGAGCAGGUCCUGAGGGAUCUGGACCCGGGCCGGGCCUCGUGGCAGCAGAACAGAGGCCUAGCCGGGCAUUAAUAUGGAUGUCCACCAGGCGCCUCUCUGUGCGAGCUGCCACCAGCCGCUCUGUGCCAGCCAAUAGCAGCGCAGAGGCUACCUGCCAAGGUCAUCAAUAAACAUCCUCAGAUGGCUCCUUGUGUCUCCAGCACAGCGGCCUGGAGAGGGUCCACGGGGGGUACUUUCACUGCUCAGAACUUUGCUUGCUUCAGAGACAGCAGCAGAUAAAGUACUUCUGCUACUGAGACAAUCGAUGGAACAUCAAGAAGCUGCCUGUUGAAAUCUCCAUCUGGUCCAUUUGGUGACUUAUGUGUAGAUUAAAUAGGCGGGAUGUGUGUCAGCGUUAAACCCAAAGUGACUCGUCAUCUUCUGUUUCCUGCAGAAACCGCUGCUUUCAUACGGCUCUCGGUUCCCUGAAGUCACUCCGCUAACACCUAACGUCACAUUUCAGGGGCUGGAGAGAAAAAAACACAAAUCCUGUAGAAACAUCAGUCCAAAGAGUUGAGAGGUUUUCUCCUCUGUGCUGCAGCUCACGAUGUGGUGACGGCGCUUCACAGCUGAUGGAGACGAGGCCGCUCGCGGUCGCCGGUCACGCCAGAGGAAUGUCUAUGGGAGUAAAAAAAUGACUUCAUCCAAAAUCACAGGCCCCUUCUGUCCUAUUAUAUGCUAAUUAGAGGACGCUCGGGACGCUUUAGCUAACGAGACACGAAUCAUUUCAACCACGAAGAGAAAUGCAACACAAUGGUCGAGCACAUCGAGUCGGAGCGGGAACAUAUGGCCCGGCUUACAUUUCACAGACGCACACACACACACAGACACACACAGACACAGGCUCCCAGCAUGCACCAGCCUAGCUGCUGAUGUGCUAAUUGGCUUGAUGUGGUUCUGAAAAUAGUGUCGGUACGAUCCCCUGUCUGCCCUCGGAAAAGAUCAUGCCCUUUAAAUUCAGUCCCAGCAGGCUGUCAAUAGGAAAUGGCUGAGAAUAAAAGGGGGGGGGGGGGUUAAAGGCAUUUCAGUUCUUUGUCCCUCAGUGACAUCACCAUCGCCAUCAUCCUCAGAUCACAGCGAAAUACAAAACUACACCCAGACUGCAGUCAGCUACACAGAACUACACGUAUACGCAUCUGGCUUCUCCGCGGAAACAGAACGAUUAUGACUAGAAGGGAGAAUAUUGAAUAGCGAGUUAAAUAUUAAUUACCUUUUUCAUUAUUCAUUAUCAUACUAUAGAUAUCUUUGGAACAUUGUUUAUAACUUAAUAUUUAAUUUAUUGAGCAGCUUCAGUUUUGUUAAAAAUCCUUUUACUUAACCUAACUUUUAUUAACACUGCAGGUAUUUAAUCAGGCCGAAAUGUCGAUUUGGUUCAUUAUCAGAUUGUCGGGGGAAGGUCUGCUGAAAUAAAUUAAACAUUUAAUAUAUUUAAUUAAUGUUGUUUUACUUGGAAAGAAAUCCCAACAUGAAUGUGAACAAUUCAAUGUAGAGUUUCCAAUUGGCCUCAAGGGAAAGUUUUCCCUUUUCUCAUUUUAAAUUACAUUUUAUUAGUUAAUUUCACUAAGUUUAGUUUUUCUUAUUUGGGAUAAACCUGAAUACCAGGAGAAAAUACUAACAUGACUACGACUUAUUUCCGAUAAUAUUUCUAGUUCCCAAUUACAUAACCCAAUUUCCCGUACAGGAAGUGUGCGUAGUCAUGGCAACGUCUCUCAUUGGUUUGCACAGGUGUUUGUUUCCUGUAGGCGGUCCGCGUCUUGAAAGACCUCUUGACCUCGUCCAACGCUUAUCAGUGAAUCCUCAAUGUCCUUUUGAAGAAUAUCUGACCUUCAUCCCGGUGACGUGUCUCGCUGGAGGAGGACUGAAGGUCCGUGAGGUCGACACAAAGGAAUGAAGAGUCCAUCCUUGUCUUGGCUCUGGUUCGUGGUUACAUGAUGCAGCUGCUCAUGUUCCUGUCCACUGUCUGCAGGUCACCGCUGCUUUCAU
ensembl:lncRNA